ensembl:rRNA 5S_rRNA 5S ribosomal RNA
GUCUACAGCCACACCACCCUGAACGCGCCCGAUGUUGUCUGAUCUCGGAAGCUAAGCAGGGUCAGGCCUGGUUAGUAUGUGUGGAUGGGAGAGUAGAUC